rnacentral:misc_RNA from 1 species
ACAGUCUGAUGUACAAACGAUUUAGCUCAAACACUCGAGUAUUAGCUAACUCAAAAUUACGAAUUGAUUCGUCAUCAGUAAACUCAUAGUACUAAUGCUUUAGACAUUGUUUAUAAUUACUGUUCAAUUUUUUUAAGACCAAUCAUUUCAAGAAGAACCAAGGCAGAUCAUACAAACGGUUGGAAUAACGCCCUGUAUAUUAAACUGCAAAAUAAAACAAAACCCAUGUGAUAGUUACUUUGGUAGAAAAGGAUGCCCACCACCAAAUGCAAGAAGUUGUAAAUGGUGUCCUGUCAACGGAUUUAACAACCAUAGACUGUCAAUGACAAACGAACAUUUAUAAGGACUAAUAAACCGUUUACAGUCAAAUACAAACCUCAGUAGACCUAGUGCUUCGUUUUGCCGAGGAAGAAAACCUUUUACAAGUUAAUCGAUAGAAAAGUAUUUAGAAUCAAUCUAAAGUUUCACCUUCCUCUUCACCACUACCACAACCACAACUAACAACAACAAAAACAACAACAACAAAAGCAACAACAGCAACAAUCCCUGAGAAAGAUGUCACAGAGGAACAACAUAAUACAUUUACAACAAUAAAACAAACAAUAACAAGCCCAUCUCCACCAUCAACCACCACAGCUACAGGAGGCAUCACAGUGAAGCCUCCUGCAUUUUGGAUGAUAUCUAAAAAGAAGUAAUUCUUAUGACAUCGAAUUGCUUUGCUAUAUUAGUCUCAAUUUCUUUGUCAUGUGUUGUAAACUUGUUUUAAUGCUUUAAGAUAAUCUUUAUUUUAACAACUACGUUAAAGGGCCGUCACAACUGUUUGUUGAGUUAAAAGGAUGAAUUUUAUUAUGUAUAUGUUACGUAAAAGAAUGAUUUUACAAAUAAUUGUUGAUGCUCAAUACUAGUACACUUAUACUUUGAAUGUUUUAUUGUAAUUAUAUACCCCAAAAAAUAAUGAAUGACUGAAUGAU